UUAAUUUAUCCAAAGCAGAAUUUGCAGCACUGUGAAGACAUUUGAAGAUCUGACUGUAGUUACAAUCAUGCAUCCCAUGAAAUCACUGAGGGCAUUCCUGCAGAGAAUAAAAGGCUGUUUGCACUAAAAGGUCACAUAUAAGGCCAAAAAGGACAAGAGGAGACAGCAACAUACUGUAUAUACACUGAAGGGUAAUCAGGGAAGCUGGAGAGAACAACACACAGCUGGACUAAAUCAUGGACGACGAGACAAGCCAAGCUCAGAGAACUACUAGCUAUCAAAAUAAAACAGGAAGUGAGAAACUAAACAGAGAAAACAGACAUGAAAAUACAGCCGAUACAAGAGGAGGGAAGACAAACAAACCCAGAAUCAAAUAUAUAUUUUAAUAAAUGGACCCAGGACCGUGAGAGAAAUGUUGCAGCAAGCUAAAAAAAAAAAAGGUUGCUUCUAAAAAUUCACAUUUCUCAUCAUCAGGAAAAAAUUUCAGUCUCUUACUAUCAGUGUGAGGCUGUGGUGAUGCUGUUUCCACAGACCUGUUGGUGGGCUGUGGUUUUGUACCUGCUGAUUGCAGUUUGGUGUGAAGUGAACUGUAGUUAUGCAGCACACUGGAUGCAGUAACACUGCACGCUUUACCUGACGGGUGAUCUGGGCUGCAGUAACUACAUGAACUGAGAUAAUGCAUUCAUUUAGGACAGCAGCAAAGCUUUUCCUUAUGUGUGUGCAGUGCAACGCUGCAGACACUUUAUCCACGCCGUCCACUCGAACAUUAUUUCUCCUGUUCGGUAUGCGAGGUAAGCUCUGGAUCACAUGAUCAUAUCGCUGUAAUCCUGUUCUGGCAUUUGAUCGCUUCUUUCAAUUUGAGCUCCCUGUGCAGAUUUUAGCCUGAGGGCGAGACUGUAGAUUAUUCUCACGAGUUUCGGUCAGAUUUUUAUAAGGUGUGAAAGUGGCCACUUCACACUGCAUCGAAGGUGCCAGAGGUCAAUGAAAAUGUCUUUGGUCUAUGUUUUAUUCAAAGAUUCUGUGACAGGAAGAGACGACGAAGGAAAAGGUCAGCGAAGCGCUCGGGUUCUGCUGAGUGACACGAAGAAAUGGAGUCAGAGACGCAGCAUGACGGCAAGAGAGACAAAGAAUGAGGCAGAGGGAGAGAUUGGCUUUAGGCGAGUCAAAAUGGAGUGAAAUGGAGACAAAGGGUGAAGGCAAGAGUGGCAGUCCAUUCCCAAAGUGUCAGAGCGAGAGUCGAGUCCCCGAACACAAAGCGAGAGGGAGAGGGCUGGAAGCAGGACAGGACUAUCAAACUCUGACGCUGCUCACCGAGAGGCGUCUAACGGCCAAAGGGAGAGAUCUUUACAUGCUGCCAGUGACCUGCGUAACCCCCGAGUUCGUCCAUGACAGGUAACAUCUCUGUCCCGGGGACCCUUAAAACUUUAAAAAGUCAACUUUGUGGCUGUUUGGAGAAACUCUGACAGUCAUGAGGCGAUCAGUGUCGUGGGCGACAUCAACACUCUGAAAGGCUCAAAAAUCAAUCAGCAGAAAGCAGCAGAAUGACAGCGGCUCAAUAAAAGGCUGCAGCGGGUCGCUCGCCUCCACACGCAGUCACACGCAUUUAAAAAACAGGUCAUAGGUUCAGAGUGAGCGCUGUGCUACCAGCUGACUGCGGAGAUAGCCGCGAGCGCAUCUGUUCGUUCAGUUUUAUUUCAUCUCUGAGGCUCGGCUGAGUAAUAAAGACCGAUCUGGCAUUCGGCCACGCAGCUCGCAGGGCUGGUGCACGCUCGGCUGAUUGGACCUAACGAAGGUGGACAACUGAACUGAGUCACUGGUGCGGUGAGCUUCACAGACGAGAGGAGACUCAUGUCAUUUCCAUGGAAGCAGACUCGCAGACCUGAGACUCAGUUUGGAGGCCAGAUUGUCAAAGAAGCAACAAUCGGCACAAGAUUGACGGGUCAGUGGAAGCUGCAGCUGCAGCUGCUGUUCUCAGUCAGGUGAUGGCGUUUCUUCAGAGCCACAGUUGGAAACGCCUGCCUCGGAUUCAUCCAGAAGAACUCCUGCUCCUUUGUUGUCUGCUGUGAGGUCCUCCUGAAUGACUCAGCUGAGCACAGACACUCUUUAGAGGAAGCUCAUUUCUGCUGCCGGUAUCCACAAUCUCAUUCUUCAGGUCACGACUCACAGCUUGUGGUCAUGCCGAGGCUAAUAGAUGAACCAAUAAAAACACAACAUUGCCUUCACUUUCAGCUCUCUCUUCACAUUGGAUCUACCGGUCCAUUUAUCAA